GACGAACGCUGGCGGCGUGCUUAACACAUGCAAGUCGAACGGUGAAGCGCCUUCCUUUUUGGUGGGUGUGGAUGAGUGGCGAACGGGUGAGUAACACGUGAGUAACCUGCCCCCUUCUUCUGGAUAACCGCAUGAAAGUGUGGCUAAUACGGGAUAUUCUGGGUCUGUCGCAUGAUGGGUCUGGGAAAGAUAUUGUUUCGGUGGGGGAUGGGCUCGCGGCCUAUCAGCUUGUUGGUGGGGUGAUGGCCUACCAAGGCGGUGACGGGUAGCCGGCCUGAGAGGGUGGACGGUCACACUGGGACUGCGACCCGGCCCAGACUCCUACGGGAGGCAGCAGUGAGGAAUAUUGCACAAUGGGCGCAAGCCUGAUGCAGCGACGCCGCGGGAGGGAUGGAGGCCUUCGGGUUGUGAACCUCUUUCGCCAGUGAAGCAGGCCUGCCUCGUUUGUGGGUGGGUUGACGGUAGCUGGAUAAGAAGCGCCGGCUAACUACGUG
rnacentral:rRNA from 1 species